rnacentral:ribozyme from 1 species
ACACAGGGACAUUGAUUCAAAUGAAAUGAAAAAAAAAAGAACAAAUGCAAACCGCAGUCAAUGUUCCUUUCUCUUUUCUUUUUCUUCU